rnacentral:rRNA from 2 species
GGCGGCUUGCCUAUACAUGCGAGUCGAACGAACUCUGGUAUUGAUUGGUGCUUGCAUCAUGAUUUACAUUUGAGUGAGUGGCGAACUGGUGAGUAACACGUGGGAAACCUGCCCAGAAGCGGGGGAUAACACCUGGAAACAGAUGCUAAUACCGCAUAACAACUUGGACCGCAUGGUCCGAGCUUGAAAGAUGGCUUCGGCUAUCACUUUUGGAUGGUCCCGCGGCGUAUUAGCUAGAUGGUGGGGUAACGGCUCACCAUGGCAAUGAUACGUAGCCGACCUGAGAGGGUAAUCGGCCACAUUGGGACUGAGACACGGCCCAAACUCCUACGGGAGGCAGCAGUAGGGAAUCUUCCACAAUGGACGAAAGUCUGAUGGAGCAACGCCGCGUGAGUGAAGAAGGGUUUCGGCUCGUAAAACUCUGUUGUUAAAGAAGAACAUAUCUGAGAGUAACUGUUCAGGUAUUGACGGUAUUUAACCAGAAAGCCACGGCUAACUACGUGCCAGCAGCCGCGGUAAUACGUAGGUGGCAAGCGUUGUCCGGAUUUAUUGGGCGUAAAGCGAGCGCAGGCGGUUUUUUAAGUCUGAUGUGAAAGCCUUCGGCUCAACCGAAGAAGUGCAUCGGAAACUGGGAAACUUGAGUGCAGAAGAGGACAGUGGAACUCCAUGUGUAGCGGUGAAAUGCGUAGAUAUAUGGAAGAACACCAGUGGCGAAGGCGGCUGUCUGGUCUGUAACUGACGCUGAGGCUCGAAAGUAUGGGUAGCAAACAGGAUUAGAUACCCUGGUAGUCCAUACCGUAAACGAUGAAUGCUAAGUGUUGGAGGGUUUCCGCCCUUCAGUGCUGCAGCUAACGCAUUAAGCAUUCCGCCUGGGGAGUACGGCCGCAAGGCUGAAACUCAAAGGAAUUGACGGGGGCCCGCACAAGCGGUGGAGCAUGUGGUUUAAUUCGAAGCUACGCGAAGAACCUUACCAGGUCUCGACAUACUAUGC